rnacentral:rRNA from 1 species
UGCGAACGGGUGAGUAACGCGUAGGUAACCUGCCUACUAGCGGGGGAUAACUAUUGGAAACGAUAGCUAAUACCGCAUAACAGCAUUUAACCCAUGUUAGAUGCUUGAAAGGAGCAAUUGCUUCACUAGUAGAUGGACCUGCGUUGUAUUAGCUAGGUGGUGAGGUAACGGCUCACCAAGGCGACGAUACAUAGCCGACCUGAGAGGGUGAUCGGCCACACUGGGACUGAGACACGGCCCAGACUCCUACGGGAGGCAGCAGUAGGGAAUCUUCGGCAAUGGGGGCAACCCUGACCGAGCAACGCCGCGUGAGUGAAGAAGGUUUUCGGAUCGUAAAGCUCUGUUGUAAGAGAAGAACGUGUGUGAGAGUGGAAAGUUCACACAGUGACGGUAACUUACCAGAAAGGGACGGCUAACUACGUGCCAGCAGCCGCGGUAAUACGUACGUCCCGAGCGUUGUCCGGAUUUAUUGGGCGUAAAGCGAGCGCAGGCGGUUUAAUAAGUCUGAAGUUAAAGGCAGUGGCUUAACCAUUGUUCGCUUUGCAAACUGUUAGACUUGAGUGCAGAAGGAGAGAGUGGAAUUCCAUGUGUAGCGGUGAAAUGCGUAUAUAUAUGGAGGAACACCGGUGGCGAAAGCGGCUCUGUGGUCUGUAACUGACAC